rnacentral:lncRNA from 1 species
GUUCUAAAGGUAGUGAAGCAGCAAUUUACACAUAGUUUCAUUUUGUUUUUUGUCUUUGCAAAGUUCAAUUUUUUUUCUAAUGGAGACAUUGGAUUUUUUUAACGGACUCAUACAUUUGCCAACCUUAUUUAAAACCAUUAAUGAUGUUAUCCAUUUUAUGUGCGACAAGGUGGUAGCAUUGAUAUAUUUUGUGAAAUUGCAGCGUUGGAAAUAAAGCUAUUAUAUUUCUUUUAUUUAUUGGAUACAUUUCUUCUUCUUUUAUAUAUUAAAUAAAGCCGUUGGGUUUUUUUUUUUUAUUGUUUUACACAUGUUAUUUUUGGUCCUUUUAUAGCUUACUUUCCAGCAUUGAACAUAGCUUUACAAGAUUGUGUCUUGGGUGGAAAGAUGUCUCAUUUGGCACUCGUACCUCAUCUUCUUAUUUCUAUAUACAAGGCACGUUUUAGAAAAAAAGAUAAUAGGUAAUAUGAAACCCACUAUGAUCCAGAGGAUUUAAAUAAUUGGAGAUAUUGAGCAUAUGUCAAUGGGACAGCAGCCGAACGAUAAGAAUACCUCUCAGAUAUAUUUUGGGAUAAAAUUAGCAACACACGGACAUUAUCGAUGGAUGAGACUAUACAAAGUAUGUUAAGCUAUUUACGGAAUAUUGUGGUGCUCUUACUAUUAGUUCAGGUCCUGAUGAAUAAGUUUACAUAUCCAGUACAGAUAGAAGUGUUUCAGUGCCAGUUUUCAUGUUUUUCGAGGCAGAAAUGUUUUUGGAAUGACAUUAUACAGGUUUAAAAGAGCUCAAAAAUUGUUCAUACUAGACAGUGGUCAAUUCAUUUAAAAUUUCACUGUUUCACGCCGUG